CACGGGGGGAGCAAGCGUUGUUCGGAAUCACUGGGCGUAAAGGGCGUGUAGGCGGUCAUGUAAGUGGGAUGUGAAAUGCCCCGGCUCACCCGGGGACCGGCAUCCCAUACUGCUUGGCUUGAGUACGGGAGAGGAUGUGGGAAUUCCUGGUGUAGCGGUGAAAUGCGUAGAUAUCAGGAGGAACACCGGUGGCGAAGGCGCACAUCUGGCCCGAUACUGACGCUGAGGCGCGAAAGCUAGGGGAGCAAACGGG
rnacentral:rRNA from 1 species